GAUGAACGCUGGCGGCGUGCCUAAUACAUGCAAGUCGAGCGAACAGACGAGGAGCUUGCUCCUCUGACGUUAGCGGCGGACGGGUGAGUAACACGUGGAUAACCUACCUAUAAGACUGGGAUAACUUCGGGAAACCGGAGCUAAUACCGGAUAAUAUAUUGAACCGCAUGGUUCAAUAGUGAAAGACGGUUUUGCUGUCACUUAUAGAUGGAUCCGCGCCGCAUUAGCUAGUUGGUAAGGUAAUGGCUUACCAAGGCAACGAUGCGUAGCCGACCUGAGAGGGUGAUCGGCCACACUGGAACUGAGACACGGUCCAGACUCCUACGGGAGGCAGCAGUAGGGAAUCUUACGCAAUGGGCGAAAGCCUGACGCAGCAACGCCGCGUGAGUGAUGAAGGUCUUCGGAUCGUAAAGCUCUGUUAUUAGGGAAGAACAGAUGUGUAAGUAACUAUGCACGUCUUGACGGUACCUAAUCAGAAAGCCACGGCUAACUACGUG
rnacentral:rRNA from 1 species